AGCUGCUGCCUGCAAGUGCGCUGUUGGAGAAACGCAGCCAGGCAGACAGAGGAGAACUGAAGUUUGACCAGUUGUUACCCUCCACGGCUAAAUAAAUCGGUUUCAGUAAUGUACUGAUAUACAAGAAUGGACAUAAGGGACUCCUUUCAAAG